rnacentral:rRNA from 1 species
UUGACCUCAAAUCAGGUAGGACUACCCGCUGAACUUAAGCAUAUCAAUAAGCCGGAGGAA